rnacentral:lncRNA from 1 species
UCUCAAGCCACAGAGGUAGCUAACAUUAACUGAAAUGUUAGCUACAAGUAGGCUUGUACCGUAAGUGGUAAAUUGCCGCGUGCCGCUUAGGCCGCCCAUUGUGACUCGGUUGUGGGCGUGCAGGCAGCAUAUAGCACGCCCACAACCGAGUGCGUCAAUAAUUCAGCGUAGCAAGUUUGUAUGAAGGUCUGGUUAUUAAAUGGGUACGUAGUUCAAUAGUAAUAUCCUCUAAAACGCACUGGUGACAAACAAACUUUGCUGCCCUGUAUCCAAUUAUCUACAUGGCUGGGAGAACCUAUUGAAGUAAGUAAAUACAUUUGAAAAAGUUUUUUUAUUUUUUUUAAACCUACGUGUUAUUAGCUAACUAGCUACAGUGCAGGCUAACUCAAAUGAGCUGCUAAAUGAACUAGCUAGUUGGCUAGCUAGCUAUCUAGCCAACUUCACAUACUGUAUAGAUAGCUAGCCAAGUGAAUUAAAUAUCACCAGCUACCUUACCUCAUAUUAGCUCGGUAUCUUGAUGUAUUUAUCACUGUAAAAAACGAACUCAAAAUGCAUUUGUCGGUAGCUAGCUAACAGCCAUGGAGGGUGAAAGGAUAGCAGCCCCAACUGUCAAAGUGAGAGAGUUGGCUAUUCUGGAUAGGGCAGGUACUUUUGUGUAGUUCCUGUCCCUAGAAGUGAGGACGGAGAUAAUAGUAACAUAAUAUUCAGUACGGUAUAAUUUCACUAUAAUGAAGUCUGUUUAUUGUGAGGUUUUCUGUCCUCAGAUAAAGAGAGCUGUGAAAGCCUGUCUACAUAUGGGGGUGCCACAGGGUUCAAUUCUUGAGCCGACUCUUUUCUCUGUAUACAUCAAUGAUGUCGCUCUUGCUGCUGGUGAGUCUCUGAUCCACCUCUACGCAGACGACACCAUUCUGUAUACUUCUGGCCCUUUGGACACUGUGUUAACUACCCUCCAGACGAGCUUCAAUGCCAUACAACUCUCCUUCCGUGGCUUCCAACUGCUUCCAACAAGUAAAACUAAAUGCAUGCUCUUCAACCGAUCACUGCCUGCACCUGCCCGCCCGUCCAGCAUCACUACUCUGGACGGUUCUGACUUAGAAUAUGUGGACAACUACAAAUACCUAGGUGUCUGGUUAGACUGUGAACUCUCCUUCCAGACUCACAUCAAAUAUCUCCCAUCCAAAGUUAAAUCUAGAAUUGGCUUCCUAUUUCGCAACAAAGCAUCUUUCACUCAUGCUGCCAAACAUACCCUCGUAAAACUGACCAUCCUACCGAUCCUCGACUUCGGCGAUGUCAUUUACAAAAUAGCCUCCAAUACCCUACUCAAUAAAUUGGAUGCAGUGCCAUCCGUUUUGUCACCAAAGCCCCAUAUAUUACCCACCACGCGCUCUCGUUGGCUGGCCCUCGCUUCAUACUCGUCGCCAAACCCACUGGCUCCAGGUCAUCUACAAGACCCUGCUAGCUAAAGUUCCCCCUUAUCUCAGCUCGCUGGUCACCAUAGCAGCACCCACCUGUAGCACGCGCUCUAGCAGGUAUAUCUCUCUGGUCACCCCCAAAGCCAAUUCCUCCUUCGGCCGCCUCUCCUUCCAGUUCUCUACUGCCAAUGACUGGAACGAACUACAAAAAUCUCUAAAACGGGAAACGCUUAUCUCCCUCACUAGCUUUAAGCACCAGCUGUCAGAGCAGCUCACAGAUUACUGCACCUGUACAUAGCCCAUCUAUAAUUUAGCCCAUACAACUACCUCUUCCCCUACUGUAUUUAUUUAUUUAUUUAUUUUUUUGCUCCUUUGCACCCCAUUAUUUCUAUUUUGCACUUUCUUCCACUGCAAAUCUACCAUUCCAGUGUUUUACUUGCUAUAUUGUAUUUACUUUGCCACCAUGGCCUUUUUUGCCUUUACCUCCCUUAUCUCACCUCAUUUGCUCACUUUGUAUAUAGACUUAUUUUUCUACUAUAUUAUUGACUGUAUGUUUGUUUUACUCCAUGUUGUUGUAUGUGUCAAACUGCUUGCUUUAUCUUGGUCAGGUCGCAAUUGUAAAUGAGAACUUGUUCUCAACUUUCCUACCUGGUUAAAUAAAAUAAAUAUGAAGAGCAGUGGUUCUCAGUCCUGGGGUCUCAAAAGGGGUGCACAUUUUUGUUUUUGCCUUAGCACUGCACAGCUGAUUCAGUUGAUCAACUCAUCAAGCUUCGAGUGGUAUUUAUGUAUUAAUUAUUUGAUAUGAUCCUGUUAUUGUCACAUGCUAUACAUGCACAUGUGUGCUCAUGCAUCUUGAUAUCCAUUGUUUUCAUGAGUUGUUAUAAGGGAUAUUAUACUUUAGUAUAAUGACCCAGUGAUGUAAAAGUCUAAUAAUUACAUUGUCUUCCAUAUUACUACAGAUACCUUGUAACUGGAGAUUCCUUCAAAACGAUUGCCUACAGUUAACAUAUAGGGCACUGCAAGGUUGGGUGACCAGGGCCAUCUGGGACUGCCUCCUGGGGGAAUUCAGGUGUGUGAAGGCUACCUGUGUGCUGCAUAACUUAAUGAGGAUGGACACGAGGACCAGGAGGGGAUCUGCAGCUUGCCGCCGUGUGCCAGAGUAGAAGUCUGCUGCUCUGCGGGAUGUUAAGGAUUGGGUAGCAAGAGACGCAGCAAGAGAGGCAAUCCAUGUGCGGGAGAUCUUCUACUUCUUCGAAGAGGGUGCUGUUCCCUGGCAACACCAUAGACUACACUAUGCACAACCAAAGGCUCUUUUAAGAGCCAUUCACAUUGCAAUAAGAGUAUUCUUCCAUUUACUUAGCUAUGUCAACUGCAGUUAUUGAAUUCACAGUUUUUCUCCCUUUGAUUUCUACUUCUCAGGUGAGGGUGCUGUUUAGCUAAGGGUGUGAUGUCUGUACAAAAACAAAACAGGCUAUUUUAAAUCACCCAUAUUGAUAUUAUUAUUAUUAUUAUUUUUUGAACAAUUAGACACCCUAUAACCCACACACUCAUUUAUCAAUCUGAUUGAUGGAUGGUGUUGAGCAGGUUCAGGUGUAUAACUGGCUUCUUCCACCUUCAAAGAAUAGGCAAGAGGGCCAACCAUGGAGAAUAGUAAAACACUUCAUUAUUUCUAUAACUACGCUAUAUUGUUUGUCCUCGUGUGUCCGUUCAUGUUUUUCAGCAUAAAGUACUCUGCAGCCACUUAGUGUGGUGUGGACACCAGGUGAGGCCACACCAGGAUUCCUGUUGAAAACAGUCACUUUUGACUACCUUAUUUUCUCAAGUCUCUCCUUCACUUCAUCCCUUUCUCCUCUUCUCCCUAGAUCCUCUAGGUUAUAUCAGCUGUGUCGGUGAACCCCUCCUGCAUCUGAACUGGCUACAUAGAGGGCACAGCAUGAUCAGAGAUAUGUUUUGAUGUGAGAGAGGAUGCCAACCCCCAGUCCUAUCAUCGCCACCUCACCCGCUUUUAAGAUAAGUAUCUCUCGACAGCCCAAAGGUUAUGUAAUUGUGAUGAACUGAGAAUAUUUAGGUAGCACUGUGAUUCAUUAAUCAUAUGCUGCCUUCCCUGCUCCUGUUUUACCUCUUUCCCUUUGUCUUUUACACCUCUCCCGCCACCUCUUUCUUCCUCUGUUUUUAUAAUGCACAACAGAUGUGCAUUGAAGUACAGAUUGAACUUGUAUUUAUAAUAUUACAAUUAUAAUAUUUAGAAUGCAUGUAUUUAUAACACUUGGAUAAUGAGCUUUUCAAUAAACCAUUUUACAUUCUCUACUGGUUGAAAAAUAAGUCUCAUUUGAUGAAAUACUACACCUAUUCUGUGUUUAUCAGAUCAAUGCAGAUGAAGGGCAUUAAAUAUUGAGAUGAACCGGUUUUAGACUAUUUACAUGAUGCAUAGGAAGUGUAGUGUACUGUUUUUCUGUAUAUAUAUAUAUAUAUAUA